rnacentral:rRNA from 1 species
GACGAACGCUGGCGGCGUGCUUAACGCAUGCAAGUCGAACGGAAAGGCCCCUUUGGGGGUACUCGAGUGGCGAACGGGUGAGUAACACGUGAGUAACCUGCCCUUGACUUCGGGAUAACUUCAGGAAACUGGGGCUAAUACCGGAUAGGAAUCCUUGCUGCAUGGUGGGGGUUGGAAAGCUUCGGCGGUUUUGGAUGGACUCGCGGCUUAUCAGCUUGUUGGUGGGGUAGUGGCUUACCAAGGCUUUGACGGGUAGCCGGCCUGAGGGGGCGACCGGCCACAUUGGGACUGAGAUACGGCCCAGACUCCUACGGGAGGCAGCAGUGGGGAAUAUUGCACAAUGGGCGGAAGCCUGAUGCAGCAACGCCGCGUGCGGGAUGACGGCCUUCGGGUUGUAAACCGCUUUCAGCAGGGGCGAAGCUUGUGGUGACGGUACCUGCAGAAGAAGCACCGGCUAACUACGUG